GACGAAUGCUGGCUGCGUGCUUAACACAUGCAAGUCGAACGGUGAAGGAGGGCUUGCCCUCCGGAUCAGUGGCGAACGGGUGAGUAACACGUGGGCACCCUGCCCCUCACUCUGGGAUAACGCCGGGAAACCGGCGCUAAUACCGGAUACGACCAGGCGCGACAUCUCGCCUGGUGGAAAGAAUUUCGGUGAGGGAUGGGCCCGCGGCCUAUCAGCUUGUUGGUGGGGUAACGGCCCACCAAGGCGACGACGGGUAGCCGGCCUGAGAGGGCGACCGGCCACACUGGGACUGAGACACGGCCCAGACUCCUACGGGAGGCAGCAGUGGGGAAUAUUGCGCAAUGGGCGAAAGCCUGACGCAGCGACGCAGCGUGAGGGACGAAGGCCUUCGGGUUGUAAACCUCUUUCAGCGGGGACGAAGCGAAAGUGACGGUACCCGCAGAAGAAGCACCGGCUAACUACGUGCCAGCAGCCGCCGUAACAC
rnacentral:rRNA from 1 species